rfam:Dipodomys ordii contig_53999, whole genome shotgun sequence.
GGGAAUGUGGCUCAGUCAGUGGUAGAGUGCUUGCCUUGCAUGCAUGAGGCCCUGGGUUCGAUUCCUCAGCACCA